GAUGAACGCUAGCGGGAGGCCUAACACAUGCAAGCCGAGCGGUAGAGUUUCUUCGGAAACUUGAGAGCGGCGCACGGGUGCGUAACACGUGUGCAACCUACCUUUAUCUGGGGGAUAGCCUUUCGAAAGGAAGAUUUAUACCCCAUAAUAUAAUGAUUGGCAUCAAUUAUUAUUGAAAACUCCGGUGGAUAGAGAUGGGCACGCGCAAGAUUAGAUAGUUGGUGAGGUAACGGCUCACCAAGUCAAUGAUCUUUAGGGGUCCUGAGAGGGAGAUCCCCCACACUGGUACUGAGACACGGACCAGACUCCUACGGGAGGCAGCAGUGAGGAAUAUUGGACAAUGGGUGAGAGCCUGAUCCAGCCAUCCCGCGUGAAGGAUGACGGUCCUAUGGAUUGUAAACUUCUUUUGUACAGGGAUAAACCUACCCUCGUGAGGGUAGCUGAAGGUACUGUACGAAUAAGCACCGGCUAACUCCGUG
rnacentral:rRNA from 1 species